GGGGAUAUAGUUCAGCGGUAGAAUACACCCAUGGCAUGGGUGGGGCAGGAGUUCGAUUCUCCUUAUCUCCA
rnacentral:tRNA from 15 species